UCUUCAGUUGCAAAGGGGUAGAGCAUUCCGUUUUACGGAAGGGUCCUGGGUUCGAGCCCCAGCUGAAUCA
rnacentral:tRNA from 1 species